AAAAAAAAAAAAGAAGCACACACUUGUUCUUAUCUUUCUGCAUGCUCUAAUGGUUGUUUUCUUUUUUCCUCCCUCUUAAAAAUGUUUUU
rnacentral:ribozyme from 1 species